rnacentral:tRNA from 1 species
GGGGAUAUAGCUCAGUGGCACAGUGCCUGCCUGGCAAGCGUAAGGUCCUGAGUUCAAUUCCCUGUGCUCCCC